GGCCAUUUCUAUUUCUAUUCUCAGUUAUCUUCUUCUUUUUCCUCUCUCCCCCUCUCUUAAAUGCCAGAAAACAUGAGUAUAUCUGUAAAUGGGCAAUCACAGGUGCCUCCUGGCUUCCGGUUUCAUCCCACAGAAGAGGAGCUCUUGCAUUACUACUUGAAGAAGAAGGUCUCAUAUGAGAAGAUCGACUUAGAUGUAAUUCGUGAAGUUGAUCUUAAUAAGCUCGAGCCGUGGGAUAUUAAAGGUUAUAUAGCUGUAUUAAGUCUUCAAGAAAUUUUACAUAUUUUUCCACUUGUAGCUAGCCUUGCGAUGUUCAUUCGAAAUCGUCUUUUUGCAGAGACGUGCAAAAUAGGAAGCACUCCUCAAAAUGAUUGGUACUUCUUCAGCCACAAGGAC
rnacentral:misc_RNA from 1 species